CUGGUCCCCACCGCUCCCGCUGCUGCUCCCGCCCCUCCGCUCCUCGGCCGCGCCAUGGGCACCCGCGACGACGAGUAUGACUACCUCUUCAAAGUUGUCCUUAUUGGAGAUUCUGGUGUUGGAAAGAGUAAUCUCCUGUCCCGAUUUACUCGAAAUGAGUUUAACCUGGAGAGCAAGAGUACCAUUGGAGUAGAGUUUGCAACAAGAAGCAUCCAGGUGGAUGGGAAAACAAUAAAGGCACCGAUAUGGGACACGGCAGGACAAGAGCGAUACUGAGCUAUAACAUCAGCAUACUACCGUGGAGCUGUAGGUGCCUUACUGGUCUAUGACAUUGCUAAACAUCUCACAUACGAAAAUGUAGAACGAUGGCUGAAAGAACUGAGAGACCAUGCAGAUAGUAACAUUGUUAUCAUGCUGGUGGGCAAUAAGAGUGAUUUACGUCAUCUCAGGGCGGUUCCCACAGAUGAAGCGAGAGCUUUUGCAGAAAAGAAUGGUUUGUCAUUCAUUGAGACAUCAGCUCUAGACUCAACAAAUGUAGAAGCUGCUUUUCAGACAAUUUUAACAGAGAUAUACCGCAUUGUGUCUCAGAAGCAAAUGUCAGACAGACGUGAAAAUGACAUGUCUCCAAGCAACAAUGUGGUUCCUAUUCAUGUUCCACCAACCACUGAAAAUAAGCCAAAGGUGCAGUGCUGUCAGAACAUCUAAGGCAUUUCUCUCCUCCCCUAGAAGGCUGUGUAUAGUCCAUUUCCCAGGUCUGAGAUUUAAAUAUGUUUGUAAUUCCUGUGGCCACUUUUGUGUUUUAUUACUUUACUUCCUCAUACUUACGAAUUCUUCCAUGUCUUAAGUCCUUUGAUUUUAGAUUUAUAAAAUCAUCCACUUUGUGC